ensembl:lncRNA
GAAGCAAAUGAAGAAAAAGAGAGAAACAGUAGCUUUUAACACAGUGUAGACCGGGGGGUUGUUUUAACACAGUGUAGACAGGGGGUUGUUUUAACACAGUGUAGACAGAGGGUUGUUUUAACACAGUGUAGACAGGGGGUUGUUUUAACACAGUCUAGACAGGGGGCUGUUUUAACACAGUUGUGUGAGUUGUGGCUUAUGAACUUCUACUUCUGGUAGGUUCUUAUCUCGGGCUCCUGAUUGGCUCAUUGCGGUCUAAGGCACUGCAUCUCUGGUGCUACAGGCGUCACUACAGACCCUGGUUCGAUUCCAGGCUGUAUCCACCACCGGCCGUGAUUGGGAGUCCCAUAAGGCAUAACACAAUUGGCUGUCUGCGUUUUGCCGGGGAUAGGCUGUCAUUGUAAAUAUGAAUUUGUUCUUCACUGACUUGUCUAGUUAAAUAAAGCUUAAUAAAUAAAAUAAAGUACCAGGAGAGUGAGCACUGCCAUUGAUUAGAGCACACACACA